GCGAGGUUGGCGAAAUUGGUAUACGCGCUGGGUUUAGGUCCCAGUGUCUUCAACACGGCAUGAGGGUUCGAGUCCCUUGCCUCGCA
rnacentral:tRNA from 1 species